rnacentral:rRNA from 1 species
GGCGUAAGCGCGCGCAGGCGGCUUCUUANAGUCUGAUGUGAAAGCCCGCCGCUCAACCGUGGAGGGUCAUUGGAAACUGGGAAGCUUGAGUGCUGAAGAGGAGAGUGGAAUUCCACGUGUAGCGGUGAAAUGCGUAGAGAUGUGGAGGAACACCAGUGGCGAAAGCGGCUCUCUGGUCUGUCACUGACGCUGAGGCGCGAAAGCGUGGGGAGCAAACAGGAUUAGAUACCCUGGUAGUCCACGCCGUAAACGAUGAGUGCUAGGUGUUAGGGGGUCCAACCCUUAGUGCUGAAGUUAACACAUUAAGCACUCCGCCUGGGGAGUACGACCGCAAGGUUGAAACUCAAAGGAAUUGACGGGGGCCCGCACAAGCAGUGGAGCAUGUGGUUUAAUUCGAAGCAACGCGAAGAACCUUACCAGGUCUUGACAUCCUCUGACAACCCUAGAGAUAGGGCGUUCCCCUUCGGGGGACAGAGUGACAGGUGGUGCAUGGUUGUCGUCAGCUCGUGUCUUGAGAUGUUGGGUUAAGUCCCGCAACGAGNGCAACCCUUGAUCUUAUUUGCCAGCAU